rnacentral:rRNA from 1 species
GAUGAACGCUAGCUACAGGCUUAACACAUGCAAGUCGAGGGGAAACGCCAUCGAAAGCUUGCUUUUGCUGGGCGUCGACCGGCGCACGGGUGAGUAACGCGUAUCCACUCUGCCCACCACUUGGGGAUAACAUUGCGAAAGUAAGACUAAUACACAAUGAUAUCUCUAGAAGACAUUUGAAAGAGACUAAAGAUUUAUCGGUGAUGGAUGGCGAUGCGUCUGAUUAGCUUGUUGGCGGGGUAACGGCCUACCAAGGCAACGAUCAGUAGGGGUUCUGAGAGGAAGGCCCCCCACAUCGGAGCUGAGACACGGUCCAAACUCCUACGGGAGGCAGGAGUGAGUAAUGCUGGGCAAUGGACGAUAGUCUGAACCAGCCAAGUAGCGUGCAGGAAGACGGCGCUAUGGGUUGUAAACUGCUUUUAUAAGGGAAUAAAGUGAGUCUCGUGAGACUUUUUGCAGGUACCUUAUGAAUAAGGACCGGCUAAUUCCGUG